CUACUCUUCAAGAGUAGUUUUGUUGCUGCUGUUGUUAUUGCUCCUGUGAAACAAGAUCCUCAACCCAGGCUGCCCUUGAGCUUCAUGUGCAACUGAGGAUGACACUGAACUUCCAAUUCUCUUGUUGAGAUCACAGGAACCUUGAAAGCCAGAAGAGAGUAUGAUGAGAUACUCAAAGUCCUAACAGUGAAAAAGACUACUGUACCCAGCAAUUCUGAUUUUCACACUGGAGAGCAUCCGGGUCGUGAAUGACUGUCCACCUCCGCUCUACCGCCAUGCCCACAUGGCGUGGGUCACCUGCCAGCCUGCCACUGCAUCUGUUCGGCAUGCCAGCAUUUUUCCCUGCACAUGCAGGAUACCCUGGCCAGCCGGGGUCCCUCACAUGCAUAUAUUAUAACAUUGGUGCUAGUGACUCAGCAGAGGUCUUCCUGGUGCAUUCCUCCUGCCUGCCAAGAGUCGGAGACACACUAGGAGCCCUGGGACCAUCAACACUCACUUCAUCUAACACAGGCAUAAGCACCCCCUUUGCAACCUCAAGGAACAGACUCCUGAGAUCUCCAUGCCUGUGGAGAUGACGGUCAGCUAUGCUUCUUCACUCACGCCUCCCACUGUGCGUGACUCCCAGCUUCCCCCUCCCCACUUUGCCCCUUGUCAGCUUGAAGCAGUCUCAGGAAUUAAGUGCCCUUGUUACUCCACUUGCUAUCCAUAACUCACCUUUUUAUAAUAAUAAAAGUGGAGGAAUGUUAAUAUGCUGACCCGCCCCUUAGAAACCAAUGUUAGUAUUCUGAUCUGCCCCUUGGUGCCCCACUGUGCCCUGAAGUAAAAACCUUGUAGUGAUAUUUUAUUUGUGCUGAAAUGUGGUGGUAUUUUAUUUGUGAUUUAAUAAAUAAAGCUUGCCUGGAGAUCAGAGG